rnacentral:rRNA from 1 species
GAUGAACGCUGGCGGCGUGUCUAAUACAUGCAAGUCGAACGAAUCUUCUUCGGAAGAUGAGUGGCGAACGGGUGAGUAAAACAUAGGUAACCUGCCCCUGUGCGGGGGAUAACAGGAGGAAACUCCUGCUAAUACCGCAUAGCCAUGAGCACCGCAUGGAGCUCAUGCCAAAUAUCCUUUCGGGGAUAGCGCAGGGAUGGACCUAUGGCGCAUUAGCUGGUUGGCGGGGCAACGGCCCACCAAGGCAACGAUGCGUAGCCGGCCUGAGAGGGGGGACGGCCAAAUUAGGACUGAGACACGGACCAGGCUCCUACGGGAGGCAGCAGUAGGGAAUUUUCGGAAAUGUGGGAAACCCUGACCGCGAAACGCCGCGUGAGCGAAGAAGGCCUUCGGGUCGUAAAGCUCUGUUGUAAAGGAAGAACGGCGCAUACAGGAAAUGGUAUGCGAGUGACGGUACUUUACCAGAAAGCCACGGCUAACUACGUGCCAGCCGCCGCAGUAA